CCGACUGUCGCCACACAGGGCGAGCCCGCGGCCGCCGCCAUCUUGGGCUCACAACGAGGCUGAGGGGCCCAGGUGCUGCCCUGUGCGGGAGCAGGUGGUUCUCCCUCCGUGCAAGGGGAAGGCUGGCCCUUGCUGGAGUCAGACACUUCUGGUUGUGUUCAUUUGAGUUGUACAAGACUCCUGACCCCCACGUCUCCUGAAAGCAUCAAUCGAGCUCUCAGAAUCGGAUCUUUUAAAAAAAAAUGGUGACAUUUAAAAAGAAUUAAUACCUUUGAAAUGCUUUUUAUUAUUUUGUUUCUGAAGUGUAAAGAGCACAUGAUUGAGCUUUUCUCCACCACCAGGAAGAUUAGAAAUGUACUUUAAAAAAAAUGAAAGAAAACAGAUUUUCCCAUUAUUUCUUUCAGAGCUAGGAUCUCAAGCAAAACAGCAAAUAUCACAAGAUCUAACAGCAUUGCCAUGGUGGUUGGGAGUUUGAUUUUUUUUUUUUUUUUUUAUAGUGUAUAGGGGGAGUGCAGUAGUUCGGGCAGCUGCUAAGAGUUGCAGAAAUGAGUUGCUUAUGUAGAGGCUGGCUUUAAGAAACAAGUUGUUAGGAGGGAUUUGAUUUGAAGAAGAGGAAUGACAGAUAAAUGGAGACAUUUUGGAAAAGAGAUGCUCUGGAAAUUAGUAGUUCUGGGUUCUGUUCUUGUCUUUAAUCUCAUAGCUUUUUAACAUUAACUAAUCCUUCUUCACCACACCCUAUACUUACUGUAAUAGGUAAAUAUAAUUUCCAUUUUAUAGAUGGAGACUGAGGCACAGUGAGAAUAAGACACAGAUCCUCAAAGGUAUUGAGAAGCCUAAAUACCUUUGAGGAUCUGGGCCUAAGUACAUAACCUAGGUCACACACAAAACUACCAGCAGACAACCAUACCCAGAAACAGAAUCCAGGAUUCUUAACUCCUCAUCCUACCCCUAGAUAACACUACCUUCCUAAAUUACUUAAAUGCCUUAUUUAGGAACUGCUGAAGGCUCUGCAUAGUCACUAUCAAACAUAUGAGAGCUGAUAUGCAAGGUAGUGGCAGAACCUUAAGUUUACUUGUCAGGGCAGGGACUUCUAUGGCCCUGAUCCUAGAACCACAUAUGCACACAUGUAACUUCCCACAUGUGAGCAGUCCUGUUAGUUGUGUACAAAUAAUAUACACAUACAUGCCUGGUGCUUUAAAAGGGGCCAGUUUACCAAAGUUGAAAAUAAUUAGGAACAAAAUUGGGAAGGAAAAAUAAACAGAAAAAUAUGAAAGGUAACUGGAGUGUUUGGAAACAUUUCAUUAGAUGCCUAAAACCUCUCCGUUCCACAAUCACCAAAGGCAGCUACUUUGAUUUAGAAAAAAAAAAAAAAAAAUUGUAGUCAAGAGGGAAGCAAACAGUAGCAAUAAAUUAUAUAUAUAUAACACAUUGAAAAAAGGAAGGUUGACAGCAAUGAACAUAAAUUAGAUGUUAAGAAACUAGAUAGGACAUGAUUAGGAAAAGAGGUAUGAAGAAUAUACAGCUAGGAAGAUAAGGACAGUAUGAUUUUUUUUAAAAACAUAUUAGGAUUCCUUUUUUCCUGAUAAGGAUAUAGAUACAUUACUAAACAGAAAUAGUAACUGUGCAGAAAAAACAAAUGUUAAAUAAGAAGUUUUGUAUUUUGAAAGAUGCUGGAUAAUGUAUUUAUUUUAUAAUGAUUAAAUACUUUCUAGUUCAACAGUAACUAAGGACAACUUUAAAAAGAAUUUACUAAAGUUAAACAUUUUAGAAUCUGCAGCUCCAGAUAACUUGCAUCCAUGAGCUGUGCUCUGUAGACCAUUGAUGUUGUUUUUAAUAAAUCUUAGAAUACUGAUGAAGUUCCAGAAGACUAAAAAAAAAUCUACUGUCGUGCUACUAUUUAAAAGAGGUAACCGUAUGACCCAAGUAAUUACAGACUGGCUAGCCUGACAGCAAGCCCAGGCAAAAUAAUGGAAUACCUGAUAUGGGAUUCAAUCAAUAAAGAAUUAAAUGAUGAUAAUAUAAUUGAAUGUCUAUCAGCAUAGCUUAAUGGGAGAUCUAGUCAAACAAGCUUUUUUUUUUUUAAUAGAUUUCAAAUGUGGCUGAUAAAGAUAACCUCUUUUACUAACUGGUGUUAAGAAUUUUCUGCCCAGUGCAUAUUAUUGAGCAAGAUCUCAGGUGCUUAUCCUAAGUAGAAGGUAAGUACGAGCCCCCUCCCAAUUUUACAGAAAGAAUAACAGGUUGCACUGGGUUGCUUCUGGCAGAGCUGGAAGUAAAACCCAAGGUUUCUACUAUGGCAUAUCCCCCAUCUCAGUGAUACAGCCUCUCAGAAAAAGUCUGGCAAAUCAGGGUGCUCAGAUGUGAGAGUAGUAGCAUUUUACACUGACUUUGUACAGCGAUAAAAUAACUCCAAGGUGCAGACAGUGGAGAAUCAAAUCUGUAGUGUCUAUAUGUCUCCUCUAUUCUCAUCCUGUUCAGAGGAAAAGUCACAAAUGGCAGUGAUUUACCCUUUCAAAUAUUUUAGAAAGUAAUUGUGAUUGACUGGCAUGUCAGCACCUCACAAACCUGGAGAGACUUACAAUGGCCUUUUCUUACUCCUUCCAAUUUAAAGUCUUAAUUGUCUUGUUCAAGAUUUUAGAAGCUCUUCGAAUACAUAAACACAUUUAGUUUUCUUCAAGCUGGGGAUAUUUUCCCUUCCUAAAUGGCUAGUUACUUAAGAUAAAUGUCUUCCAAAGAGCGCGCUCUCCCUCACCUAACCCAUCUGCCCUCCACUUAUUACACAUUCAAACUAUAUGUCAUCAUUUUCUGUUUCCUGCAUGAUCAUUGGUUUCUGUUGUAAUGUUACAACGGCGGUUGUGAAAUUGUUUUAAAAGUGGAAUUUUCAGAGUGGCUGACAGUGAUAUCAUGCUUGUGUUAGCAAUAACCCUACAAUUCACAGGUAAUGUCUCCACCAGCACUCCCUUUUUAUUGCAGUGCUUAGACAGAAGAGCAACAAUCAGUCUUAUUUAUACAGAUCAAAAAAUAUAUAUGUGGUACUUUAGAAGCAAAUAAGAGACACGGGGUCAGCUCAUCAGUUGGUGUCUUUACUGAAGUCAAUGGAGCUGUACUGAUUUACAUCAACGAAGAGUCUCGCCCAUGAUCCUAGUUUUUAAAAAGUUACAGUCUGUCAGGUCUUAGGCAGUCCUCAUGGUCAGAGCAGGAGUCAGGCCUACUAGACAGAGUCCAAAUGCGAGAGCCCAAGGUCAAGGCACAGUCAGAGCUGGGGAUUGGAGCUGAAGGUCAGAACUAAAGUUAGAGUCUGAAUGCCAGAACCAAAGAUCAAGACAGAGAGUCAGAACCAAGGCCAAGGAUCAGAAUCAUUGUCAGAGUCCGAAUGCCUGAGCCCAGGGUCAAGACAGAGCCAGACCUAGGAAUUAGUGCUGAUGGUCAAAGAACUGAUUAUCUGGAGUCAGGGAACGCAGGAGCAGUUGCAAGGCAGAAGCAAGACUGGGUGCAGGGCUUGGAGUGAGACAAGCACAGGGAGGCAGAGAAUCCACAGUUAUGUUCAUUGAGCAGCCACUGAUCUACUGAAGCUGCUUGGCUUAAGAGCAAGCCAUCUGAAUACCUUAGCCCAGUGGUCCCCAAAUUGUGGGGCAUGCCCCCUGGGGGGGCACAGAGGAACAUUAUGGGGGGCAUGGCCACCUAGCCCCACCCUGCCUCCAGCUGUGCCGCAGCCGCCAGCCCAGCCACAGCUCAACACGCAGCCACGGCCCCAGCCCCACCCCAAGCCUUGGCCCCCAGUCGUGGCCCCAUCCUUGGUCUCCAGCCCCAAACACAGCUCCAGGCCUGGCCCCAGACCCACCCCAAACCGUGGCCCUGGCCUCAGCCUCUGGUCCCCAGCCUGGAUGCAACUCGGGCCCUGACUGCGGCCCUGCUCCCAGCCACAGCUCCUGACCAUGGCUCCCAGAAGGGAAGAAGUGCAGAUGGGGGGGGUCGGCUAGAUGUAAAAAGUUUGGGAACCACUGCCUUAGCCAAUCAGGUGGUUUUGCUGUGGCCAAGGUGCACUCAUUGAUUGACUGACUGGUCAGGCGCCACUACAGGCCCUUAUUGCUGACACAGUCCAAGAUCUUACAGUGUUCUGGGCACGCUGCAUGCCAACUAAGUGAAGGCACUGAGCCCUCUGAAGGUCAGCACUUCAUCUUUUUAUGCCUUUACUUAGGACCCCGUACUGCAAGGGGCUGAAUUCUGAUAUUACUGUGCUGUAAUAAUUAAAAACACGCUAUACUCAAAAGACCAACACAUUAGGCUAAAGUCUCUCUAUAAUAAAGUAACCGGUUUAGGGUUACCAGGCACCUGGUUUUUUACCAGAAUACAUGGUCAAAAAGGGCCCCUGGCGGCUCCACUCAGCACAGCUGACCGGGCCGCUAAAAGUCCAGUUAGCCGCAGUUGCCAGCUCCCGGAAGCAGCUGGCAUGUCCUUCUGGCUCCUAGGCGGAGGGGAAGCCAGGAGGGCUCCGCGCACUUCCCCUACCCGCAGUGCAGGCACCACCCCGAGUGUCCACUCCAAAUCUCCCAUUGGCUGGGGACCACAGCCAAUGGGACCUGCAGGGGCAGCGCCUGCGAGCAGUGCACAGAGCCCCCAUGGUCGCACCUGCACCUAGGAGCCAGAAGGACAUGUUGCCGCUUCCCAGGAGCUGCCUGAAAUCAGUGCUGCCUGGAGCGCACACCCCGAACCUCCUCCAGUGCCCCAACCCCCUGCCCCAGCUCAGAACCCCCUCCUGCACCCAAACUCCCUCCAGGAGUCUGCACCCCUGCCCAGAGCCCCCUCCUGGACCCCAAACCUCUCAUCACCAGCCCCACCCUUGAGCCCACACCCCCUCUCAACGCCCUGCCCCAGCCUGGAGCCCGUCCCACACUCCAAACCCCUCAUGCCUGGCCCCACCCCAGAGCCUUCACCCCCCAGCCGGAGUCCUCAUCCCCUCCUGCACCCCCAACCCCCUGCCCCAGCCCGCUGACAAUGAGCAAGUGAGCGAGGGUUGGGGAAGAGUGAGCAACAGAGGGAGGGGGAUGGAGUGAGCAGGGGGCAGGGUUAGGGUGUUCGGUUUUCUGCAAUCAGAAAGUUGGCAACCCUAAAUCUAUUUCUUUCUACCAGAUGGAAGACAAAUGUCAAAGUUCAUAAUAUAAGGACUGUAUGAUCUUCUAGGCAACUAUGUCUCAGUAUGAUGUGCCCUUUAUUUUUGUCCUUCCAUGGAGUCUUUAAAACCUAUCACUCUUUUCAAUAAAACAGUAUUUUUAAAACAUUUGUGAAACCUUCAACAUGUGUGCAGAACCAUCCAACGGAACCGUGACAUCUUAUUGUUGUAACCUUGACUAACAGCAAAUUUUCUAUAGAGCCUUUCACUGUAGUAUCUACGAUCUUCCCAGGUAAAUUGGAUUGACAUUGUGGGGGCUUCACAGUGUCGUCUUCUCCCUUCCGUAGUUAUUAGAGGCUCUGCUUGGGGGUAUAAUUUGUUUGUCCCCGCUAUUCUGUUUAUGGUGGCAUUAAAUGGAAGGUCUUCCAUUGUGUCUUGAGGAUGAUCAGACUUUGAAUGAGCCUCAUCUCCUUCACUAGCUCAUUUCACACCUGAACUCUUUGAACCAGGUACAUCUUAUUUCAAAUUCUGAGGCGUUGUAUCCUGGGCUUUAUCAGCUGUCUUUGUGGGUCACAGUGUAAAUGGAAUCGCUGAGGUAGUUAGGUUCCAACCCACUGAUGGCGUUGAAAAUCGGGACCAAGUCUUCGAAUUGGUAGCAAUAACAGACUGGAAGCCAAGCAGAAGUAUCAGAGCAUGGUAGUAAUGUGCUUGCAGCAGCCUAUCCCACCGAGCAAGUCCAUUAUGCUAGGCACUGUACAAACCCAGACAAAGACACGUUCCAGGCCCUGAAAAGCAUAGCUGUGACGUUACAGAAUGAUGCAUUCUGGGGCUUCAAAUGAUAGCAGAGCCAGUAGGAAUUUGUUGGACUUCAAACAAAUUUUAAAAGGUUUUGGUUUGCUUUGGUUUUGUGCUGCAUACUCAUCUUAGCCUGGUUAGUGUGGGGAAAUUCAGCACAUGCUUGUGUAGCAUGUGGGGUUUCCCUUUUUUCCUGCAGAUCACUUUUAAGGUGUCUGAUUUGGUGUUUUAGUCUGUGUCACUUGAAAUGUGAACUGAUUAUUGCAUGGUCGUGCAGCCCCGAGAACCUGCAAGUAUCUGAAUAAAUACAAGCUUUAGCCUUAAAAUCAAAACUCACCGUUCAGUCUUGAAGGCUUGUCAAUUUUAAAAACUACACUAACCCUUGUAAAGGAUAUUUUUGAAAUGUGAUUUGAUAUGAAAUCAUUAAAGCAGUAGGAACAGUACGGGCCAGGCAGCUAUUCCAGUGUCAUGCAAUAAUGCAUGUCAAUAUUAUGUAAAGUUAAAUGUACUCAACUUUAAAAUAGCGCCUGUUAUUGAAAAUAAUUAGUGGGGGCAGAUUGCAGCAGAGCAAAAGUGUGUUGUGGGAAGGGAUGGAACUAGGAAUCUGAGUAGGAGUGUUUGCCCUUUACUCCAUUCAGGCUUUAGUACUGAAUUGCAGUCCUCUCAUUUUUCUGGCUGCCUAAAUCUUAUUUUCUGUUCCCUUUGGUUCCCAUUGUUCAUUUGGCCUCGUAUAGUUCCAUUGUCAGCUGACUUCUUUUGUUUUCUUAGGUUCAGCUCAGUUGAUUGAGGCCUCCACUCCUGCUGGCUGCUGUCUUCCUAAUCGGUUUUGAAUCUUUCCAAAUAUAUGUAGCCAUCUUCCUGAAGGAUCGUGCUGAAAACAGUAAUAUCAUCUGUGAUGCUCACAUUUCCAGAAUGUAAUAAGAGCAGAAUUAUUCAUCCCACUAUUCAUUAAACCACAACAAAAAAAAAUGUACAAUUUGCAUAAAAUAUUAGCCAGUAAUGCCUUGGUUUUUCCUCUCCCCUAUCUGGGUGUAUAAAAUAUUGAUGAAGGGGAAAUGCAAGUAGCCAUGGUAAUCCAGAUUUUCAAACAAACUGUAUGUGAUGUGCUAGACAAUGUUAUUUUAAAGAGACGAUGCCCAGCCCUUCUCUUCUACAUGCUUUACAGGUCACACGGGAUGAAUAAUUUAUCAAAAAAUAAGUACAUUAAUGUCAGUGGGAUUGAGCAGGUUGU